ACCAAAUCUAGCCCAACCCAUACACUAUCAUGAUACAAAUACAUAAGUCUGUAAGACAAAACAUUUACAAUUUAAAAGUAUAGGAGAUAGAAAUUAACCCAAAGCGCUAUAGAGGAAGUACCGUAAGGGAAAGAUGAAAGAAUAGUAAAAGUACAUAACAGCAUAGAUUACACCUAGUACCUUUUGCAUAAUGAAUUAACUAGAAAAACUUGAUAAAGAGAAUUUAAAUCAAGCUCCCCGAAACCAAACGAGCUACUUUUAAACAGCUAACUAUGAGCAAACCCGUCUGUGUGGCAAAACAGUGGGAAGAUUUAAAAGUAGAGGUGAAAAGCCAACCGAGCUUGGAGAUAGCUGGUUAUCCAAACAAGAAUUUCAGUUCAACUUUAAGUUUUCCUAAAAUACCUAUAAAAUUCAAUGAAAACUUAUAUGUUAAUUUAAGGAGGGACAGCUCCUUAAGCAAGGAUACACCCUUAAACAGAGAGUAAAAAAUAAUAAAACCAUAGUAGGCCUAAAAGCAGCCACCAAUUAAGAAAGCGUUCAAGCUCAACACACAAACUUUUCAAAAAAUUCCUAAAAUACUAUUCAUCCCCUGUUAAAAACAAUUGGAUUAAUCUAUAGACCUAUAGAAGAAAUAAUGUUAAUAUUAGUAAUUAGAGUUAUCUCUCCUUGCAUGAGCUUAAGUUAAAUAAUAUUAAACUAAUUAACAACCUUAUAAAAUAAUACACUUAAUUAGAUAAUUAUUUACUCAUAACUGUUAGCCCAACUCAGGAAUGCAGUAAGGAAAGACUAAAAUAAGCAAAAGGAACUCGGCAAACAUAAACCCCGCCUGUUUACCAAAAACAUCACCUCUAGCAUUACAAGUAUUAGAGGCACUGCCUGCCCAGUGACUAUUAAAGUUAAACGGCCGCGGUAUUCUGACCGUGCAAAGGUAGCAUAAUCAUUUGUUCUUUAAAUAGGGACUAGUAUGAAAGGCUAGACGAGGGUUUAACUGUCUCCUGCUUACAGUCAGUGAAAUUGACCUCCCCGUGAAGAGGCGGGAAUAAAACAAUAAGACGAGAAGACCCUAUGGAGCUUAAAUUUAUUAAUUCAUUUUUACAUUAAUCAACCCACAGGGGAUAAAAAACAAAUUAUGAAUUAACAAUUUUGGUUGGGGUGACCUCGGAGAAAAAACCAACCUCCGAAUGAUAUUAACUUAGACACACAAGUCAAAGCUUUUAUCAUAAAUUGACCCAGAAACUAUCUGAUCAACGAACCAAGUUACCCUAGGGAUAACAGCGCAAUCCUAUUCUAGAGUCCAUAUCGACAAUAGGGUUUACGACCUCGAUGUUGGAUCAGGACCCCCAAAUGGUGCAACCGCUAUUCAAGGUUCGUUUGUUCAACGAUUAAAGUCCUACGUGAUCUGAGUUCAGACCGGAGUAAUCCAGGUCGGUUUCUAUCUAUUAAAAAUUUCUCCCAGUACGAAAGGACAAGAGAAAUGAGGCCAAUGGUCCAACCAUGCCUUAAUAGCAAAAGAAUGAUAUAAUAUUAACUCCUUAGCUAUUAGCUAAAACCACCCGAGAUAAGGGUCG
rnacentral:rRNA from 1 species